ACUGAUCUAUGGGUAGUCGCGCCUGAAAAGGUGAGGAAAGUCCGGACUCCAUAUGGCAGUGCAAGGGGUAACGCCCCUCCGGUGUGAACCGAGGAACAGUGGAACAGAGAAAAUGUCUAAGGCAUUGAGCCUAAUACCGGGAACGGGAGGUAUUAGGGGAGCCAAGGAGUGAAAAUAGCUAAACUCUGCACGGAGCAAGAUCAAAUAGGAAAGCAUUAAGUACGGCCAGUACGAGCUUUCGGGUAAGAUCGCUUGAGGCCAUUAGUAAUAAUGGUCCCAGAGGAAUGAAUACCUCCCUUUGGAUUUGGCAGAUGAAUUAGGGAACAGAAUCCGGCUUAUAGUAGAUCAAAACGC
rnacentral:RNase_P_RNA from 1 species